rnacentral:ncRNA from 1 species
GGAAGCCGGGUUACGGUGCCCAACUGCGCGCUAACCUAGAACCCACAAAGGGUGUUGGUCGAUUAAGACAGCAGGACGGUGGUCAUGGAAGUCGAAAUCCGCUAAGGAGUGUGUAACAACUCACCUGCCGAAUCAACUAGCCCCGAAUAUGGAUGGCGCUGAAGCGCGCGACCCACACCCGGCCAUCUGGGCGAGCGCCAUGCCCCGAUGAGUAGGAGGGCGCGGC